rnacentral:rRNA from 1 species
AGUGAACGCUGGCGGUAGGCCUAACACAUGCCAGUCGAACGGCAGCACAGUAAGAGCUUGCUCUUACGGGUGGCGAGUGGCGGACGGGUGAGGAAUACAUCGGAAUCUACUUUUUCGUGGGGGAUAACGUAGGGAAACUUACGCUAAUACCGCAUACGACCUACGGGUGAAAGCAGGGGAUCUUCGGACCUUGCGCGAUUGAAUGAGCCGAUGUCGGAUUAGCUAGUUGGCGGGGUAAAGGCCCACCCAGGCGACGAUCCGUAGCUGGUCUGAGAGGAUGAUCAGCCACACUGGAACUGAGACACGGUCCAGACUCCUACGGGAGGCCGCAGUGGGGAAUAUUGGACAAUGGGCGCAAGCCUGAUCCAGCCAUACCGCGUGGGUGAAGAAGGCCUUCGGGUUGUAAAGCCCUUUUGUUGGGAAAGAAAAGCAGCAGGUUAAUACCCCGCUGUUCUGACGGUACCCAAAGAAUAAGCACCGGCUAACUUCGUG